GACAGAGGCCCCGAGCGUUGUUCGGAUUCACUGGGCGUAAAGGGUGCGUAGGUGGUGAGGUAAGUCGGAUGUGAAAUCUCCGAGCUCAACUCGGAAAUGGCAUUGGAAACUACCUUGCUUGAGGGUUGGAGGGGGGACUGGAAUACUUGGUGUAGCAGUGAAAUGCGUAGAUAUCAAGUGGAACACCAGUGGCGAAGGCGAGUCCCUGGACAACUCCUGACACUGAGGCACGAAAGCUAGGGGAGCAAACAGG
rnacentral:rRNA from 1 species